rnacentral:rRNA from 1 species
UGGGGAAUAUUGGGCAAUGGGCGAAAGCCUUACCCAGCAACGCCGCGUGAGGGAAGAAGGUUUUCGGAUUGUAAACCUCUGUCCUGGGGGACGAAGGAAGUGACGGUACCCCGGGAGGAAGCCCCGGCUAGCUACGUGCCAGCAGCCGCGGUAAUACGUAGGGGGCGAGCGUUGUCCGGAAUUAUUGGGCGUAAAGGGCGCGUAGACGGCCGAGUAAGUUAUAGGUGAAAGCCCAUCUUUCAAGGAUGGAAUUGCCUGUAAUACUGCCUGGCUUGAGUGCAGGAGAGGGAAGCGGAAUUCCUAGUGUAGCGGUGAAAUGCGUAGAUAUUAGGAGGAACACCAGUGGCGAAGGCGGCUUUCUGGACUGCAACUGACGUUGAGGCGCGAAAGCGUGGGGAGCAAACAGGAUUAGAUACC